CACCAGGACAGGCUUCAGAAAAAUGGAAAAUUGAUCUAACAAGGAAGAAGUAUUAUGAAGCAAUGUUAAAAAGAAAUUGGUAAUAAUUGCCAACAGAGAAAACCCUUCAAAGAGAGUUGCUGCUUUUCCUAAGGGUUUCCAAGGAUCCAAAAACCUUCGGAAGUUCCAAGGAUCAAGUCCCAGGAUCUAAGCUGGACCUUUCCUGGAACAAAUUCCUUCAGACAAAUUCUCCACCAGACCAUCAACUCAGGAGGGCAAACAAGGAACUUGUUUUCAAGAGCUGGAGCCAAACCACCCAGAGUUUCCUGUGCCAGGUGAGCAUGAAGAGGGGCCGAAGUCACCCAUUACUAACCCCUCACCCAUGACUGCCUGAAAGGUAUGUCUCAGGCUUUAACCAUGAAACCUGUUUCCUCUCUCCCCUCCAAAGUCCAGCCCAGAGAGGCAUGAUAAAAUCACUUAGCAAAUGGAAAAUAUUUUGUGCUUAUUCUAAGAAAUGUGAUCCAUCAAAAAUGAGCUGACAAGUCAUUUCAUUUCCAAGGACAGUGUCCACAUACUCCAGGCAGCCUCUGGACCUGGAAUAAGACACAUCUAAGCCACAGGCCAGUAAGGACCAUACAGCUAUAACGUUAUGAGUGAUUCUGUAGCAUGGUUUUAAGGCACCAGCUGCACAGUCAGACUGCCUGGUUUCAGCCCAGCUCCCUCAUUUGCUAGCUGUGAAA
rnacentral:lncRNA from 1 species